rnacentral:rRNA from 1 species
UACGUAGGGUCCGAGCGUUGUCCGGAAUUAUUGGGGCGUAAAGGGCUCGUAGGCGGUUCGUCACGUCGGGAGUGAAAACUCGGGGCUUAACCCCGAGACCUGCUUCCGAAUACGGGCAGACUAGAGGUAGGCAGGGGGAAGGAGCGGAACUCCUGGUGUAGCGGUGGAAUGCGCAGAUAUCAAGGAAGAACACCGGUGGCGAAGGCGGCUGCUCUGGGCCUUACCUGACGCUGAGGAGCGAAAGCGUGGGUAGCGAACAGG